UCCGGCUUACACCGGCGGUCUCUUGUGAGUGCCCACCUUUAAGUGCUGGUAACACAAGACGAGGGUUGCGCUCGUUGGCGGACUUAACCGUACACCUCACGGCACGAGCUGACGACAGCCAUGCAACAUCUGUUUUCAGGUCUCCUUGUGGGAGAGGGCCCUAUCUCUAGAGCUUUCCUUCAAUGUCAAGAGUGGGUAAGGUUCUUCGGUUAGUAUCGAAUUAAUCCACAUGCUCCACCGCUUGUGCGGGUCCCCGUCAAUUCAUUUGAGUUUCAACCUUGCGACCGUACUCCCCAGGCGGGGCACUUAAUGCGUUAGCUGCGGCACCCAGGGGGUCAAUACCCCGGACACCUAGUGCCCAUCGUUUACAGCGUGGACUAC
rnacentral:misc_RNA from 1 species